UUACAACAAUCUUCUUCGCCCUAUAUGGUUUACUUCAGGCUGGACCAACCUGUAUGCGAUGUAUGGAUGUAGCUGAUAUUCAAGACUGUAUUACAAACGUCUUUGAUUGUGGUGACAAUGAGGAAUGCUAUCUGGAAAAAGGAACACAUGGAGAUCGUAGCAUCAAAUACAACGCAGGAUGUCGCUCAAAACAG